GCUGGGCCAUAAUAUAAUUAAUAGUCUCAGAGUUAAGCAACUUUGAAACAAUCCAUAAAAAAUAUAGGGAAUUAUAUACACCAAUCAAUUAGAUGUAACCAAAAGUCUCUUAAUGCGUGUGGAAUACGUAAUUUUUCCCUUUGGGAUCAAUAUUCUUCUGUCAGCUGUUCCAUCCGUGCGUCCGUAGUAAUUAUUGUAAAAGUACGGAUUACGGUCAUAGCUGGUCCGGUUCAGAUCCGUAGUUUAGAAAUCGGUCAAUGGCGGACGAAUGCAAGAAAAUUUACAAAAAUAAACGAUGUUUGACAAGUUAUUUGGAAAGGAACAUGACGUUUUUAAUGCAAUAAAUGGAUUGAACUUUUACUGGAGGCA
rnacentral:lncRNA from 1 species